GGGGAGGUAGCUCAGUCGGUAGAGCGACAGACUGAAAAUCUGUGCGUCGGGGGUUCAAUUCCCUCUCUCCCCA
rnacentral:tRNA from 1 species